AUGGGAGAGACGAGCGCACCCCUGUCCUCCAUGGUCCUUGGCAGGAGGAGAUGGAAGCCGAGUCGGAGGGGAAGGGCUGGCGACACCCCUGCAGUCCCCGUCUGUGAGCCGCCGCCUCUGUCCACAGAGGAGAGAAGGGCUGUGAACUGGCACAGGUGCGGAUUUUUCCAGAUUAACUCAGGAUGUAAAAGAUGGGACAGAGGCUUGGCCACAUUCAUAGAACUUGGUCAUCUGAGGAGCUGGAAUCUGGUGGUUGCGAGUAACAGGAGAGCAAAGGCUGUUGCAACGUCAAGGAGGGACCCCGGCAUGAGCUCCUUUUUAGUGUCAACCAUCAGAGGCGGUUGCUAUGGAAGAACUGACGUCACAGAGAUCAGGGCGUUGAAACCACGUGCGGAGGAGACAAAAUGCGCAGCCGCAGUAGCUGCGCGGCCCCCACCUGCCUCCCGCCCCUUGCGCUCCGUCACUCCCGCUUCCUCGGUGCCCUGCAGUUGCCCUGCAGGGAAGCAGGAUCCCCGCCAGUGGUGCGGGGCCCUCGGGGCCAGGACGGCCUCUGCCGCCCCCCUGCACGUGCCCACUGCGUCUUCCCGAGGCGCCUGGCAGCGCAGCGCGGCUGCUGGGGGCCGGGAGGCGAGGCCGAGGCUGAACCGCCCGCUGCAGCCGCGUAGGAUGGCGCUUGCUCUGCGCCACUGGGAGAGGCGCGCCCACGUCCUGCUCGCUUCUCCGUCGUCAGCCGGAUUUCCCGUUAGCUGCGGAGGAGCCUCGCGACCCCCACCACGCUCACCGAGCAUCGUCACAGCGUGGCUGACUCAGACCUUGGGCGGGCGUUUCUGGGCCAGUCCUGCCACGCCAGGCUGUAACACACUCUGCACCAGCGGCACCUCCCCAGGGCUCAUUCUGUGGGAAUUCCCACCCCAAUCCUCCCCCAAGCCCCAGGUUUCCACCCCUCCGCCGUCUGUCCAUGCACUCGCCCGUUACCCAUCAUCCACCUGUGCAAAAACUGACGACCGAGGGGCCACGGAGAGGCAGGAAUCUGGGAACGCGGAAGUCACGUCUGUCAUUGGGGCUCCUCAGCCAUUUGUGUGCAGUGCACAGCCCGUGCAGUCGAUACUGCACUUAUCCGCCCAUGCGCAGUCGUCAGACUCUCCAGGUGGUUCUCGGAAGUUCUCUGCUGCGAGAGCGAAGGUCCUUGGAAGGAGCUCUGGGGCACCAACAGAGGUUGUGUCAUCCCGGAGGAGCACAGGCGGAGGGCGUGGCCACGCUCCUUUGUGGCCCCUGCAGAGGUAAAUCAGAGCAAGGUGUCUCACCCGUGGCUGGAGAUCAGUUUGAGGAACAAUUUGCAAACUCUGAAGUGCUUUGCGAGUUGCUGUGAGUUCACACAAGUCGGGAUCACCACAGUUGUCCUGAUCACUUGAGAAUCUCCAGGCAAUCUAGUAUCAUCAGCAGAAGUCAAUUGUUACUGUUGUUACUAUCACGAUCAAUGGGAUUUGGAAUUCUUUCAAGUUAAAAAUUGUUACAAAAUUAAACAGAAACAAUGUUGAAUUUUCUUCUUCAUUUUCCAUGUGUUCUCACACUAAUUCUGAUCAGUGGCACGUUCCCCCUGGCAACUGCACACUCACCUUUUGUGUGUGUUGACUUUUUUACACUGGUUCAAAACUCCACACUUGUAAAAGAUUGAAAAAAAAAAAACCCUCUGGCGAGCUUGAAUGUGAAGCUGAAUGCUGAACUGCCAAGUGCUCUAUGUGCUUAUCUCAACACCAAGUUCAGGUCCACUGGGGUUUCCAGGCAUUGGAAACAGUUCCCCGGGCAGCCUUCUGAAACUGGGCAAGAACUGCUUCCAGAUUACUUGCGAUUGUUCGCGUGGCCUCACUUCUAUUUAAUUGGAAAAAUAGAUUCAGGAAGGUUUUUCCCACUCAUUACUCAGGAAUGCCUGGCCUGGGUGGGGAACAGGUGCUCGUGAGGCUGGGAAAUGGUGCAGAAGCAGAGCACAGAGGCGCCACCCACGCUCUGCAACAGCAGUGGUUUGUGAAGGGAAGGGGAGAAAGGAAAGGCAAGGCAGGAAGGCUCCCGGGGUUGAGGAACGGGCUCCGUGGGCUGUAGGGGCACCGAGGGGGCAGGGGCAGAGUCCAGGCUGCAGGGGGCACCAAUGGGGUGGGGGCAGAGUCCAGGCUGCUCCUAAGAGGCAGCACGAUUCAGGAUGGGGCUCUCAUCACAGGAAAAUCAUCUUCAAGGCGGGAGCAAGGUGAAGUGUGCAGAGCUGACGUGGAGGGCGAGAGAACGAGAGUGGGGAGUGGGUGACUUGGAAAGGAGAGGGGGAGGCAGCA
rnacentral:lncRNA from 1 species